rnacentral:tRNA from 15 species
GGGCAGUUAGCUCAGCUGGUAGAGCAUCUCGUUUACACCGAGAGGGUCAGAGGUUCGAGUCCUCUACUGCCCACCA